UAAGGAAUAUUGGUCAAUGGACGCAAGUCUGAACCAGCCAUGCCGCGUGGAGGAUUAAGGCCCUCUGGGUUGUAAACUCCUUUUAUCUGGGAAGAAAUGUACUUUUUCUUGAGUACUUGACGGUACCAGAGGAAUAAGCACCGGCUAACUCCGUGCCAGCAGCCGCGGUAAUACGGAGGGUGCAAGCGUUAUCCGGAUUCACUGGGUUUAAAGGGUGCGUAGGUGGGCAGGUAAGUCAGUGGUGAAAUCUCCGGGCUUAACCCGGAAACUGCCGUUGAUACUAUUUGUCUUGAAUAUUGUGGAGGUAAGCGGAAUAUGUCAUGUAGCGGUGAAAUGCUUAGAUAUGACAUAGAACACCAAUUGCGAAGGCAGCUUACUACACAAUCAUUGACGCUGAGGCACGAAAGCGUGGGGAGCAAACA
rnacentral:rRNA from 1 species